rnacentral:rRNA from 1 species
AGAGUUUGAUCAUGGCUCAGGACGAACGCUGGCGGCAUGCCUAAUACAUGCAAGUCGAACGAGCUUCCGUUGAAUGACGUGCUUGCACUGAUUUCAACAAUGAAGCGAGUGGCGAACUGGUGAGUAACACGUGGGGAAUCUGCCCAGAAGCAGGGGAUAACACUUGGAAACAGGUGCUAAUACCGUAUAACAACAAAAUCCGCAUGGAUUUUGUUUGAAAGGUGGCUUCGGCUAUCACUUCUGGAUGAUCCCGCGGCGUAUUAGUUAGUUGGUGAGGUAAAGGCCCACCAAGACGAUGAUACGUAGCCGACCUGAGAGGGUAAUCGGCCACAUUGGGACUGAGACACGGCCCAAACUCCUACGGGAGGCAGCAGUAGGGAAUCUUCCACAAUGGACGAAAGUCUGAUGGAGCAAUGCCGCGUGAGUGAAGAAGGGUUUCGGCUCGUAAAACUCUGUUGUUAAAGAAGAACACCUUUGAGAGUAACUGUUCCAAGGGUUGACGGUAUUUAACCAGAAAGCCACGGCUAACUACGUGCCAGCAGCCGCGGUAAUACGUAGGUGGCAAGCGUUGUCCGGAUUUAUUGGGCGUAAAGCGAGCGCAGGCGGUUUUUUAAGUCUGAUGUGAAAGCCUUCGGCUUAACCGGAGAAGUGCAUCGGAAACUGGGAGACUUGAGUGCAGAAGAGGACAGUGGAACUCCAUGUGUAGCGGUGGAAUGCGUAGAUAUAUGGAAGAACACCAGUGGCGAAGGCGGCUGUCUAGUCUGUAACUGACGCUGAGGCUCGAAAGCAUGGGUAGCGAACAGGAUUAGAUACCCUGGUAGUCCAUGCCGUAAACGAUGAGUGCUAAGUGUUGGAGGGUUUCCGCCCUUCAGUGCUGCAGCU